rfam:Triticum aestivum genome assembly, contig: Triticum_aestivum_CS42_TGACv1_scaffold_033338_1BL
CAUAUACUCCCUCCGUCCGGAAAUACUUGUCGGAGGAAUGGAUGCAUCUAGUCAUAUUUUAGUUUUAGAUGCAUCCAUUUUUAUCCAUUUAUGCGACAAGUAUUUUCGGACGGAGGGAGUACAUC